UACAGAGGGUGCGAGCGUUGUCCGGAAUCACUGGGCGUAAAGGGCGCGUAGGCGGCCCGGUUCGUAGGGGGUGAAAUCUCGCGGCUUAACCGCGAGGCUGCCUCCUAAACUGCCGGGCUCGAGCACAGUAGAGGCAGGUGGAAUUCCCGGUGUAGCGGUGGAAUGCGUAGAGAUCGGGAAGAACAUCGGUGGCGAAGGCGGCCUGCUGGGCUGUUGCUGACGCUGAUGCGCGACAGCGUGGGGAGCAAACAGG
rnacentral:rRNA from 1 species